GCGUUGCUGGGUAGGGGAGCGUUCUGUAAGCCGUCGAAGGUGUGCUGUGAGGCAUGCUGGAGGUAUCAGAAGUGCGAAUGCUGACAUAAGUAACGAUAAAGCGGGUGAAAAGCCCGCUCGCCGGAAGACCAAGGGUUCCUGUUCAACGUUAAUCGGAGCAGGGUGAGUCGACCCCUAAGGCGAGGCCGAAAGGCGUAGUCGAUGGGAAACAGGUUAAUAUUCCUGUACUCGGUGUUACUGCGAAGGGGGGACGGAGAAGGCUAUAUCAGCCGGGCGACGGUUGUCCCGGUUUAAGCGUGUAGGCGGAGGGUCCAGGUAAAUCCGGACUCUUUUAACGCUGAGGCGUGACGACGAGGCACUACGGUGCUGAAGUGAUAAAUGCCCUGCUUCCAGGAAAAGCCUCUAAGCAUCAGGUAACACAGAAUCGUACCCCAAACCGACACAGGUGGUCAGGUAGAGAAUACCAAGGCGCUUGAGAGAACUCGGGUGAAGGAACUAGGCAAAAUGGUGCCGUAACUUCGGGAGAAGGCACGCUGGCGCGUAGGUGAAGGGACUUGCUCCCGGAGCUGAAGCCAGUCGAAGAUACCAGCUGGCUGCAACUGUUUAUUAAAAACACAGCACUGUGCAAACACGAAAGUGGACGUAUACGGUGUGACGCCUGCCCGGUGCCGGAAGGUUAAUUGAUGGGGUUAUCCGUAAGGAGAAGCUCUUGAUCGAAGCCCCGGUAAACGGCGGCCGUAACUAUAACGGUCCUAAGGUAGCGAAAUUCCUUGUCGGGUAAGUUCCGACCUGCACGAAUGGCGUAAUGAUGGCCAGGCUGUCUCCACCCGAGACUCAGUGAAAUUGAACUCGCUGUGAAGAUGCAGUGUACCCGCGGCAAGACGGAAAGACCCCGUGAACCUUUACUACAGCUUGACACUGAACAUUGAGCCUUGAUGUGUAGGAUAGGUGGGAGGCUUUGAAGCGCGGACGCCAGUCUGCGUGGAGCCAUCCUUGAAAUACCACCCUUUAAUGUUUGAUGUUCUAACGUGGCCCCGUAAUCCGGGGUGCGGACAGUGUCUGGUGGGUAGUUUGACUGGGGCGGUCUCCUCCUAAAGAGUAACGGAGGAGCACGAAGGUCAGCUAAUCACGGUCGGACAUCGUGAGGUUAGUGCAAUGGCAUAAGCUGGCUUGACUGCGAGAGUGACGGCUCGAGCAGGUGCGAAAGCAGGUCAUAGUGAUCCGGUGGUUCUGAAUGGAAGGGCCAUCGCUCAACGGAUAAAAGGUACUCCGGGGAUAACAGGCUGAUACCGCCCAAGAGUUCAUAUCGACGGCGGUGUUUGGCACCUCGAUGUCGGCUCAUCACAUCCUGGGGCUGAAGUAGGUCCCAAGGGUACGGCUGUUCGCCGUUUAAAGUGGUACGCGAGCUGGGUUUAGAACGUCGUGAGACAGUUCGGUCCCUAUCUGCCGUGGGCGCUGGAGAAUUGAGGGGGGUUGCUCCUAGUACGAGAGGACCGGAGUGAACGCACCACUGGUGUUCGGGUUGUCAUGCCAAUGGCACUGCCCGGUAGCUAAGUGCGGAAAAGAUAAGUGCUGAAAGCAUCUAAGCACGAAACUUGCCCCGAGAUGAGUUCUCCCUGACUCCUUGAGAGUCCUGAAGGGACGUUGAAGACGACGACGUUGAUAGGCCGGGUGUGUAAGCGCAGCGAUGCGUUGAGCUAACCGGUACUAAUGACCCGUGAGGCUUAACCUUACAACGCCAGAGGCGUUU
rnacentral:rRNA from 1 species